AUUGAACGCUGGCGGCAUGCCUUACACAUGCAAGUCGAACGGCAGCACGGGAGCAAUCCUGGUGGCGAGUGGCGAACGGGUGAGUAAAGUAUCGGAACGUGCCCAGUCGUGGGGGACAACGUAGCGAAAGUUACGCUAAUACCGCAUACGUACUAUGGAUGAAAGCGGGGGAUCGCAAGACCUCGCGCGAUUGGAGCGGCCGAUAUCAGAUUAGGUAGUUGGUGGGGUAAAGGCUCACCAAGCCGACGAUCGGUAGCUGGUCUGAGAGGACGACCAACCACACUGGGACUGAGACACGGCCCAGACUCCUACGGGAGGCAGCAGUGGGGAAUUUUGGACAAUGGGCGAAAGCCUGAUCCAGCCAUGCCGCGUGCAGGAUGAAGGCCUUCGGGUUGUAAACUGCUUUUGUACGGAACGAAAAGGUUUGGCCUAAUAAGCUGAGCUCAUGACGGUACCGUAAGAAUAAGCACCGGCUAACUACGUGCCAGCCGCCGCGGUAA
rnacentral:rRNA from 1 species